UUCCCUUUUAGCCAAUCGACUUUGCAAUGGCGAUGUUAUGACCCUGCAUCCGACCGGGAAGGCUAGUGGAGGUGUUGCUGCUUCCCAUGCUGAGGUCCAGCACGACGUCACCGCUCUAGA
rnacentral:sRNA from 1 species